rnacentral:rRNA from 1 species
UACGAAGGGGGCUAGCGUUGCUCGGAAUCACUGGGCGUAAGGGGCGCGUAGGCGGCCAUUCAAGUCAGAGGUGAAAGCCCAAGGCUCAACCUUGGAACUGCCUUUGAUACUGUUUGGCUUGAGACCGGUAGAGGUAAGUGGAACUGCGAGUGUAGAGGUGAAAUUCGUAGAUAUUCGCAAGAACACCAGUGGCGAAGGCGGCUUACUGGACCGGUUCUGACGCUGAGGCGCGAAAGCGUGGGGAGCAAACAGG